rnacentral:rRNA from 1 species
AGUGAACGCUGGCGGCGUGCUUAACACAUGCAAGUCGAACGAGAAACGGAUUUAGCUCGCUAAAUUGCAGUCUAAGUGGCGCACGGGUGAGUAAUGUAUAGGUAAUAUACCUCUUACUAAGGGAUAACAAUUGGAAACGAUUGCUAAUACCUUAUAUGCCUUUAAUACGGAAGUAUGCAAGGGAAAGAUUUAUUGGUAAGAGAUUAGCCUGUAUGGUAUCAGUUAGUUGGUGAGGUAAUGGCUCACCAAGACAAUGACGCCUAACUGGUUUGAGAGGAUGAUCAGUCACACUGGAACUGAGACACGGUCCAGACUCCUACGGGAGGCAGCAGUGGGGAAUAUUGCACAAUGGACGAAAGUCUGAUGCAGCAACGCCGCGUGGAGGAUGACACAUUUCGGUGCGUAAACUCCUUUUAUAUAGGAAGAUAAUGACGGUACUAUAUGAAUAAGCACCGGCUAACUCCGUGCCAGCAGCCGCAGUAA